GCUAUAAUUAGGAAGAUUGCAUGCGUUCGUUGCGAAAAAAUCCACCCGAGUUUCGCUACCCGGCAAUAGUGCAUUCGGGUGCCGAAAUGCACCCGUUUUGCAUCGUUUUUCGUGCCGGAACCGAAUGCCCAAAAACACUCCCAAACAUGUUCUAGGGUCUAAUUAGGAAGAUUGCAUGCGUUCGUUGCGAAAAAAUCCACCCGAGUUUCGCUACCCGGAAAUAGUGCAUUCGGGUGCCGAAAUGCACCCGUUUUGCAUCAUUUUUCGUGCCGGAACCGAAUGCCCAAAAACACUCCCAAACAUGUUCUAGUGCAUAUUAGGAAGAUUGCAUGCGUUCGUUGCGAAAAAAUCCACCCGAGUUUCGCUACCCGGAAAUAGUGCAUUCGGGUGCCGAAAUGCACCCGUUUUGCAUCGUUUUUCAUGCCGGAACCGAAUGCCAAAAACACUCCCAAACAUGUUCUAGUGCUAUAUUAGGAAGAUUGCAUGCGUUCGUUGCGAAAAAAUCCACCCGAGUUUCGCUACCCGGAAAUAGUGCAUUCGGGUGCCGAAAUGCACCCGUUUUGCAUCGUUUUUCGUGCCGGAACCGAAUGCCAAAAACACUCCCAAACAUGUUCUAGUGUCAUAUUAGGAAGAUUGCAUGCGUUCGUUGCGAAAAAAUCCACCCGAGUUUCGCUACCCGGCAAUAGUGCAUUCGGGUGCCGAAAUGCACCCGUUUUGCAUCAGUUUUUCGUGCCGGAACCGAAUGCCCAAAAACACUCCCAAACAUGUUCUAGUGUAUAAUUAGGAAGAUUGCAUGCGUUCGUUGCGAAAAAAUCCACCCGAGUUUCGCUACCCGGCAAUAGUGCAUUCGGGUGCCGAAAUGCACCCGUUUUGCAUCAUUUUUCGUGCCGGAACCGAAUGCCCAAAAACACUCCCAAACAUGUUCUAGUGCAUAUUUAGGAAGAUUGCAUGCGUUCGUUGCGAAAAAAUCCACCCGAGUUUCGCUACCCGGCAAUAGUGCAUUCGGGUGCCGAAAUGCACCCGUUUUGCAUCGUUUUUCGUGCCGGAACCGAAUGCCUCAAAAACACUCCCAAACAUGUUCUAGUGUAUAAUUAGGAAGAUUGCAUGCGUUCGUUGCGAAAAAAUCCACCCGAGUUUCGCUACCCGGCAAUAGUGCAUUCGGGUGCCGAAAUGCACCCGUUUUGCAUCGUUUUUCGUGCCGGAACCGAAUGCCAAAAACACUCCCAAACAUGUUCUAGUGCUAUAAUUAGGAAGAUUGCAUGCGUUCGUUGCGAAAAAAUCCACCCGAGUUUCGCUACCCGGAAUAGUGCAUUCGGGUGCCGAAAUGCACCCGUUUUGCAUCAGUUUUUCGUGCCGGAACCGAAUGCCCAAAAACACUCCCAAACAUGUUCUAGUGCUAUAUUAGGAAGAUUGCAUGCGUUCGUUGCGAAAAAAUCCACCCGAGUUUCGCUACCCGGCAAUAGUGCAUUCGGGUGCCGAAAUGCACCCGUUUUGCAUCAGUUUUUCGUGCCGGAACCGAAUGCCCAAAAACACUCCCAAACAUGUUCUAGUGCAUAUUAGGAAGAUUGCAUGCGUUCGUUGCGAAAAAAUCCACCCGAGUUUCGCUACCCGGCAAUAGUGCAUUCGGGUGCCGAAAUGCACCCGUUUUGCAUCGUUUUUCGUGCCGGAACCGAAUGCCCAAAAACACUCCCAAACAUGUUCUAGUGCAUAUUUAGGAAGAUUGCAUGCGUUCGUUGCGAAAAAAUCCACCCGAGUUUCGCUACCCGGAAAUAGUGCAUUCGGGUGCCGAAAUGCACCCGUUUUGCAUCGUUUUUCGUGCCGGAACCGAAUGCCCAAAAACACUCCCAAACAUGUUCUAGUGCAUAUUUAGGAAGAUUGCAUGCGUUCGUUGCGAAAAAAUCCACCCGAGUUUCGCUACCCGGCAAUAGUGCAUUCGGGUGCCGAAAUGCACCCGUUUUGCAUCGUUUUUCGUGCCGGAACCGAAUGCCCAAAAACACUCCCAAACAUGUUCUAGUGCAUAUUUAGGAAGAUUGCAUGCGUUCGUUGCGAAAAAAUCCACCCGAGUUUCGCUACCCGGAAAUAGUGCAUUCGGGUGCCGAAAUGCACCCGUUUUGCAUCGUUUUUCGUGCCGGAACCGAAUGCCCAAAAACACUCCCAAACAUGUUCUAGUGUAUAAUUAGGAAGAUUGCAUGCGUUCGUUGCGAAAAAAUCCACCCGAGUUUCGCUACCCGGAAAUAGUGCAUUCGGGUGCCGAAAUGCACCCGUUUUGCAUCAUUUUUCGUGCCGGAACCGAAUGCCAAAAACACUCCCAAACAUGUUCUAGUGUAUAAUUAGGAAGAUUGCAUGCGUUCGUUGCGAAAAAAUCCACCCGAGUUUCGCUACCCGGAAAUAGUGCAUUCGGGUGCCGAAAUGCACCCGUUUUGCAUCGUUUUUCGUGCCGGAACCGAAUGCCCAAAAACACUCCCAAACAUGUUCUAGUGUAU
rnacentral:lncRNA from 1 species